UACGUAGGUGGCAAGCGUUGUCCGGAUUUACUGGGUGUAAAGGGCGUGUAGGCGGGGUGUUAAGUUAGAUGUGAAAUGCCCGGGCUUAACCCGGGAGCUGCAUUUAAAACUGAUACUCUUGAGUGCAGGAGAGGAAAGCGGAAUUCCUAGUGUAGCGGUGAAAUGCGUAGAUAUUAGGAGGAACACCAGUGGCGAAGGCGGCUUUCUGGACUGUAACUGACGCUGAGGCGCGAAAGCGUGGGGAGCAAAC
rnacentral:rRNA from 1 species